AGAUGGUCAAGCGAGCAACAGAAGCCGGGGUUCCACCAUGAGCAUGGCUAGUAUUGAAGACGCGUUUGCCGGCAUCCGUUGUCUCUGCCGGCAAGGAUGCCCAUCCCAGCAGUGUUGCAGCACAAUAAUGGCCAGCAGUACCUUGAUCUGGCCAAGAGAUUAGUCCCUCUAACUAUGAAGCAGUUUCCAUGCUAAUUCCUUCGGCCGAGCACGGCAGGGCACCGGCUAUACAUGGAAUGCUACUCUGUUUAUACAAUACAAUGAAAGGCAAAUGGAUAUUCGCGGUAGCCGCACACCAGCGAUCAUCUUCUGCUCCGAACGGCGCCUAGAGGCUGUUUGUUGAUGUGCUUCGAGUAUUCUACCAUCCAGGAAUUGUGCAUGUGUCCGUCUUUUAGCAUGAUCAUUACUACUUUUUUGAUGCCUUUUACCACCGUCCGAAUAUUAAUCAGUGAGCUAGAGAACGACGCUUCUUUCUCUCUGAUUCAAUCUCAAAAUGGUGCGGAUGCAGACCAACUCAGCUCUGUUAUUGAACCUCAUGUGUCUAUGGGCAACGUCUUCACAACCAUCGACGAUGAACAUUUCGAGUGCUCCUUUCAACAGAUAAAUGUCAAUCGAGAUGUGUCUCACAGUAUGUUUUCACUUCAACGGAAAUGCUGACGACUAAAGAUCUUCAAGAAUAUCUAUUCAUUAUGU